rnacentral:rRNA from 1 species
UACGGGGGGGGCAAGCGUUGUUCGGAAUUACUGGGCGUAAAGGGCGCGUAGGCGGCCAUCUAAGUCAGACGUGAAAUCCCUCGGCUCAACCGAGGAACUGCGUCUGAUACUGGAAGGCUUGAAUCCGGGAGAGGGAUGUGGAAUUCCAGGUGUAGCGGUGAAAUGCGCAGAUAUCAGGAGGAACACCGGUGGGCGAAGGCGGAUCUC